GAGUUUGAUCAUGGCUCAGAUUGAACGCUGGCGGCAGGCCUAACACAUGCAAGUCGAGCGGAUGACGGGAGCUUGCUCCUUGAUUCAGCGGCGGACGGGUGAGUAAUGCCUGGGAAUCUGCCUGGUAGUGGGGGACAACGUUUCGAAAGGAACGCUAAUACCGCAUACGUCCUACGGGAGAAAGCAGGGGACCUUCGGGCCUUGCGCUAUCAGAUGAGCCUAGGUCGGAUUAGAUAGUUGGUGGGGUAAUGGGCUCACCAAGGCGACGAUCCGUAACUGGUCUGAGAGGAUGAUCAGUCACACUGGAACUGAGACACGGUCCAGACUCCUACGGGAGGCAGCAGUGGGGAAUAUUGGACAAUGGGCGAAAGCCUGAUCCAGCCAUACCGCGUGUGUGAAGAAGGUCUUCGGAUUGUAAAGCACUUUAAGUUGGAGGAAGGGCAGUAAGUUAA
rnacentral:rRNA from 1 species